rnacentral:rRNA from 1 species
AGGGGAUUAGUGGCGAACGGGUGAGUAACACGUGGGCAAUCUGCCCUUCACUCUGGGACAAGCCCUGGAAACGGGGUCUAAUACCGGAUACGACCUCCGACCGCAUGGUCUGGUGGUGGAAAGCUCCGGCGGUGAAGGAUGAGCCCGCGGCCUAUCAGCUUGUUGGUGGGGUGAUGGCCUACCAAGGCGACGACGGGUAGCCGGCCUGAGAGGGCGACCGGCCACACUGGGACUGAGACACGGCCCAGACUCCUACGGGAGGCAGCAGUGGGGAAUAUUGCACAAUGGGCGAAAGCCUGAUGCAGCGACGCCGCGUGAGGGAUGACGGCCUUCGGGUUGUAAACCUCUUUCAGCAGGGAAGAAGCGAGAGUGACGGUACCUGCAGAAGAAGCGCCGGCUAACUACGUGCCAGCAGCCGCGGUAAUACGUAGGGCGCAAGCGUUGUCCGGAAUUAUUGGGCGUAAAGAGCUCGUAGGCGGCUUGUCGCGUCGGAUGUGAAAGCCCGGGGCUUAACCCCGGGUCUGCAUUCGAUACGGGCAGGCUAGAGUUCGGUAGGGGAGAUCGGAAUUCCUGGUGUAGCG